UAGCUCAGUUGACAGAGUGCUUGCCUCAUAUGCAGCAGGCCCUGGGUUCGAUUCCCAG
rnacentral:tRNA from 1 species